UACGAAGGGGGCUAGCGUUGCUCGGAAUCACUGGGCGUAAAGGGUGCGUAGGCGGGUCUUUUAAGUCAGGGGUGAAAUCCUGGAGCUCAACUCCAGAACUGCCUUUGAUACUGAAGAUCUUGAGUUCGGGAGAGGUGAGUGGAACUGCGAGUGUAGAGGUGAAAUUCGUAGAUAUUCGCAAGAACACCAGUGGCGAAGGCGGCUCACUGGCCCGAUACUGACGCUGAGGCACGAAAGCGUGGGAGCAGACAGG
rnacentral:rRNA from 1 species